GUUUCGUGUUCCAGCUACCAUUGAAGUGUUUUGUAACAUUUUAAUCCAUCUACAAUACAUUGCUUUAAGCGUAUAAUAACGAUAUAACAUGCCCUUGUUUACUGUCUAUAAAUGUUCAUAUAUACUAGAUACGAGCUAGAUUUAAAACCCUGCCACUCAAUCAUAUUAUAUUAUUAGGUUUUUGUGGCUGGAAAUUCCGAACGGAAGAUUAGUGGACAAUUUCAGACCUAUAACCAAGAGCAGCUGGGAGAAUGCAACUAUAUUUAGGCCCUCUGGCCUAUAGAUGGGUGUAAAUUCGAGUUGAGAUGCCCCAAAACCAUGAUACCUAUAGCCUGUAUACGUACAUUUUUCGCAGCUGCUAUAUAUUGGUUUGGUCUAAAAUUAUACAUAAUCUUCCAGUGGAAAUUUCGAUCUAUAAAAUCCCUCCAACUGUUAGUUCUAUCCACCAAGAUGGCCAAAAAUCUUAAUAUAAAACCAUUAUUUAUACAUGAAUAAUAUGUGUAAUCUUAUAUGUAUAUAUAUAUAUA